AACGAACGCUGGCGGCAUGCCUAACACAUGCAAGUCGAACGAGACCUUCGGGUCUAGUGGCGCACGGGUGCGUAACGCGUGGGAACCUGCCCUUAGGUUCGGAAUAACUCCCCGAAAGGGGUGCUAAUACCGGAUAAUGUCUUCGGACCAAAGAUUUAUCGCCUUUGGAUGGGCCCGCGUUGGAUUAGCUAGUUGGUAGGGUAAAAGCCUACCAAGGCGACGAUCCAUAGCUGGUCUGAGAGGAUGAUCAGCCACACUGGGACUGAGACACGGCCCAGACUCCUACGGGAGGCAGCAGUGGGGAAUAGUGGACAAUGGGCGAAAGCCUGAUCCAGCAAUGCCGCGUGAGUGAUGAAGGCCGUAGGGUUGUAAAGCUCUUUUACCCGGGAUGAUAAUGACAGUACCGGGAGAAUAAGCGCCGGCUAACUCCGUG
rnacentral:rRNA from 1 species